rnacentral:tRNA from 8 species
AGUCCCGUGGUGUAGUGGCCAAUCAUAGCGGCCUUUGGAGCCGUUGACGGCAGUUCGAAUCUGCCCGGGACUA